UUAUUGGUUUCAAUCUUCAGU
rnacentral:piRNA from 1 species